rnacentral:rRNA from 1 species
CACGUAGGGCGCAAGCGUUGUCCGGAAUUAUUGGGCGUAAAGAGCUCGUAGGCGGUCUGUUGCGUCUGCUGUGAAAACUCGGGGCUUAACCCCGAGCCUGCAGUGGAUACGGACAGACUAGAGGUAGGUAGGGGAGAAUGGAAUUCCCGGUGUAGCGGUGAAAUGCGCAGAUAUCGGGAGGAACACCGGUGGCGAAGGCGGUUCUCUGGGCCUUACCUGACGCUGAGGAGCGAAAGCGUGGGGAGCGAACAGG